CUCUUGAGUAGGAUUUCGAUCUCUUCAUUAUAUCUGAUCCUCCAAAUCCCUCCUUCAUUUCUAGGGCCAUAGAUUCUUCUUAUCACCUUUCUUUCAAAUACUCUCAAUGCAUGAGUGUCCGCUGCAUUUAGAGUCCAAAUCUGUAUUUUAGCG